AUAAUGCAGUCGACGCGCGGCAUCAGGAGCUUGCUCCUGUGACGCGAGUGGCGGACGGGUGAGUAACACGUAGGCAACCUGCCCAUCAGACCGGGAUAACCACGGGAAACCGUGACUAAUACCGGAUAAUCCUUUUCCUCAUAGGAGGGGAAGUUGAAAGGCGGUCUUUUGACUGCCACUGAUGGAUGGGCCUGCGGCGCAUUAGCUAGUUGGUGGGGUAAGGGCCCACCAAGGCGACGAUGCGUAGCCGACCUGAGAGGGUGAUCGGCCACACUGGGACUGAGACACGGCCCAGACUCCUACGGGAGGCAGCAGUAGGGAAUCUUCCGCAAUGGACGAAAGUCUGACGGAGCAACGCCGCGUGAGUGAAGAAGGGUUUCGGCUCGUAAAACUCUGUUGUCAGGGAAGAACGUCCCCGUGAGUAACUGCACGGGGAGUGACGGUACCUGACCAGAAAGCCACGGCUAACUACGUGCCAGCAGCCGCGGUAAUACGUAGGUGGCAAGCGUUAUCCGGAAUUAUUGGGCGUAAAGCGCGCGUAGGCGGUCUGUUAAGUCUGAUGUGAAAGCCCCCGGCUCAACCGGGGAGGGUCAUUGGAAACUGGCAGACUUGAGUGCAGAAGAGGAGAGUGGAAUUCCAUGUGUAGCGGUGAAAUGCGCAGAGAUAUGGAGGAACACCAGUGGCGAAGGCGGCUCUCUGGUCUGUAACUGACGCUGAGGUGCGAAAGCGUGGGGAUCAAACAGGAUUAGAUACCCUGGUAGUCCACGCCGUAAACGAUG
rnacentral:rRNA from 1 species